rnacentral:lncRNA from 1 species
CAGCUUCGGGUUUUUGCUACAUCAACGACAUAGCGAUUGGCAUUCAGUUCAUGUCCACAACUUUUGAAAGGAUUCUUUAUAUUGACCUGGAUGUUCAUCAUGGGAGUACGCAUUUGAGAACAGCAAUAAAAUCCUCACACUUUCAUUCCAUAAGCACGAGGUGGGAUUCUUUUCCAACUCAGGCAAUCUGGAUGAAGCAGGCAUCGGAAAGGGCAAAAACUACUCCCUGAACGUCCCGUACCAGGGCGGGAUUAGCGAUGAAACGUUCACAAAGUUGUGCAGUCAAGUGCUUCCAAAAGUUUUUGAAACAUUUAAAUCGGCCAAUGCGAUCUGACCCUCAAGGGAUUCGAUUGUUGCGUGAAAACCGUGCUACAAU